rnacentral:rRNA from 1 species
AGUGAACGCUGGCGGCAGGCCUAACACAUGCAAGUCGAACGGCAGCGCAGCAGUAGCAAUACUGUGGGCGGCGAGUGGCGGACGGGUGAGGAAUACAUCGGAAUCUACCCUGUCGUGGGGGAUAACGUAGGAAAACUUACGCUAAUACCGCAUACGACCCACGGGUGAAAGCGGCGGACCGCAAGGCGUCGCGCGAUUGGAUGAGCCGAUGUCCGAUUAGCUAGUUGGCGGGGUAAAGGCCCACCAAGGCGACGAUCGGUAGCUGGUCUGAGAGGAUGAUCAGCCACACUGGAACUGAGACACGGUCCAGACUCCUACGGGAGGCAGCAGUGGGGAAUAUUGGACAAUGGGCGCAAGCCUGAUCCAGCCAUGCCGCGUGUGUGAAGAAGGCCUUCGGGUUGUAAAGCACUUUUGUUGGGGAAGAAAAGCUCGCGGUUAAUACCCGUGGGUUCUGACGGUACCCAAAGAAUAAGCACCGGCUAACUUCGUGCCAGCCGCCGCCGUAA